CCGCUGGAAGGUGCCAAAAUGAACAUAUCUUUUGCCUUUUACCAAAGAUAUCCGUUUGUAACCUUCAGACAGCAUUCAACAAUAUUUGGAAUAACCUCUCCUUUGAGACUU
rnacentral:snRNA from 1 species